GAUGAACGCUGGCGGCGUGCCUAAUACAUGCAAGUCGAGCGGACGGACGAGAAGCUUGCUGCUCUGAUGUUAGCGGCGGGCGUGUGAGUAACACGUGUAUAACCUACCUAUAAGACUGGUAUAACUUCGGGAAACCGGAUCUAAUACCGGAGAAUAUUUUGAACCGCAUGGUUCAAAAGUGAGAGACGGUCUUGCUGUCACUUAUAGAUGCAUCCGCGCUGGAUUAGCUAGUUGGUAAGUUAACGGCUUACCAAGGCAACGAUGCAUAACCGAAGUGAGAGGGGGAUAGGCCACAUUGGAACUGAGCCAGGGACAAGAGUACUGAGGGAGGCAGCAGUAGGGAAUGUUCCGCAGCGGGCGAAAACCUGACGGAGCAACGGCGAGUGAGUGAUGGAGGUCUCGGGAUCGUAAAACUCUGCUAUGAGGGAAGAACAGAUGUGUAAGUAAAUGUGCACAUCUUGACGGUACCUAAUAAGAAAGCACCGGCUAACUACGUG
rnacentral:rRNA from 1 species